rnacentral:lncRNA from 13 species
AGAAACGAUCGGAUGGCCCCGUGUCAAGAUUAGCGUCUGUUUGUCCGUUAUCGCGCGACGCGAGCGAGGGUGGGGAGGCAACGACGAUGGGGAUUUUCGUAGUCGACGGUGAUGGUGACGACGGUGGUGGGCACGAAAGUCGAGUUUCGUGAUCCAGAAGAAGAACACGCGGGGGGAAGAAAGAACGGAAGGGCGGGGGCCGUAGCCGCGAAGAAAGGCAGGAGCUAUAAAAGAGCCGACGGGCCCGACGAUGGGCAUCAAACACCUCCAACAUGAAGGUGUUCGCAGUCACGCUUGUGCUGGCACUCGUCGCCACCGCGUACGGUGGUUACAUAAGCAGUGGAUAUGGCGGUGGCGGAUUCGGCGGCGGUAGCAGCGGAUGGAAGUUCGGCGGCGGAGGUGGAUACGGCGGCGG